UAGAACUGAAUUUUAAAAAUCUUGAUUAGUAAUAGUUAUGUUCUUGAAAAUUAAAAAAUUUGGCGGUAUUUUAGUCAAUUUAGAGGAACCUGUUUUGUAAUUGAUAAUCCACGAUAGGAUAGACUUAUUUUAUUAGUUUGUAUAUCGUUGUUUAGAAUUUCUUUUAAGGGUUAAUUUUCUUUUGUUUUUGAAAAAAUUUAUUUCAGAUCAAGGUGCAGCUUAUAAGUAAGAAUUAAUGGGUUACAGAAAAAUUAUAUUUAGUUAUAUAUUUUAAAUUUUAUAUAUAAAUUGGAUUUAAUAGUAAUUGAAAGUAUUUUCUUUUAAUGAUUUUUGUUCUGGGAUAUGU
rnacentral:rRNA from 1 species